AUUGAACGCUGGCGGCAUGCCUUACACAUGCAAGUCGAACGGUAACAGGUCUUCGGAUGCUGACGAGUGGCGAACGGGUGAGUAAUACAUCGGAACGUGCCUAGUAGUGGGGGAUAACUACUCGAAAGAGUGGCUAAUACCGCAUGAGAUCUACGGAUGAAAGCAGGGGAUCGCAAGACCUUGUGCUACUAGAGCGGCCGAUGGCAGAUUAGGUAGUUGGUGGGAUAAAAGCUUACCAAGCCGACGAUCUGUAGCUGGUCUGAGAGGACGAUCAGCCACACUGGGACUGAGAUACGGCCCAGACUCCUACGGGAGGAAGCAGUGGGGAAUUUUGGACAAUGGGCGAAAGCCUGAUCCAGCAAUGCCGCGUGCAGGAUGAAGGCCUUCGGGUUGUAAACUGCUUUUGUACGGAACGAAAAGCCCCGGGUUAAUACCCUGGGGUCAUGACGGUACCGUAAGAAUAUGCACCGGCUAACUACGUGCCAGCCGCCGCGGUAA
rnacentral:rRNA from 1 species